rnacentral:rRNA from 1 species
GUCGAGCGAGAAAGUUCCUUCGGGAAACGAGUACAGCGGCGCAAGGGUGAGUAACGCGUGAACAAUCUGCCCUCGACACCGGCAUAGCCCCGGGAAACCGGGAUUAAUACCGGACGGUGCUGUUUAGCCGCAUGGCUUUACAGUCAAAGGUUGACUCCGGUCGUGGAUGAGUUCGCGCCCCAUCAGCUUGUCGGUGAGGUAACGGCUCACCGAGGCGAAGACGGGUAGCUGGUCUGAGAGGAUGGUCAGCCACACUGGGACUGAGACACUGCCCAGACUCCUACGGGAGGCUGCAGUCGAGAAUCAUCCGCAAUGGGCGCAAGCCUGACGGUGCGAUGCCGCGUGAGGGAUGACGGCCUUCGGGUUGUAAACCUCUGUCAGGGGGGACGAAGAAGUGACGGUACCCCCAGAGGAAGCCACGGCUAACUACGUGCCAGCAGCCGCGGUAAUACGUAGGUGGCGAGCGUUAUUCGGAUUUACUGGGCGUAAAGGGUCCGUAGGGGGUCUGCCAAGUCUGGUGUGAAAUCCCGCAGCUCAACUGCGGACGUGCACUGGAAACUGGUGGACUUGAGUCCAUGACGGGAGAGCGGAAUUCCUGGUGUAGCGGUGGAAUGCGUAGAUUUCAGGAAGAAUACCGGCGGCGAAGGCGGCUCUCUGGCAUGGUACUGACCCUGAUGGACGAAAGCGUGGGUAGCGAACAGGAUUAGAUACCCUGGUAGUCCACGCUGUAAACGUUGUGCACUAGAUGUGGGGGGUCCUUUGGUCCCUUCCGUGUCCAAGCUAACGGCCGAUAAGUGCACCCGCCUGGGGACUUACGGCCGCAAGGGUAAAACUUCCAAAAGGAAUUGACGGGGCGCCGCACAAGCGGGUGGAGCAUGUGGCUUAAUUCGAGGCAACGCGAAGAACCUUACCCGGGUGUGACAUAUACCGGACCGGCCGUGAAAUCGGCCUUCUCUUCGGAGCCGGUAUACAGGUGCUGCAUGGCCGUCGUCAGCUCGUGCCGUGAGGUGUUCGGUUAAGUCCGGCAACGAGCGCAACCCAUGUGGUUAGUUGCCAUCAGGUAAUGCUGGGCACUCUAGCCAGACUGCCCGUGUCAAGCGGGAGGAAGGCGUGGAUGACGUCAAGUCCGUAUGGCC